GUCUCUCUUGAGUGGAUCCUGAGUACGACGGAGCACGUGAAAUUCCGUCGGAAUCUGGGAGGACCAUCUCCUAAGGCUAAAUACUCUCUAGUGACCGAUAGUGAACCAGUACCGUGAGGGAAAGGUGAAAAGCACCCCGGAAGGGGAGUGAAAUAGAACCUGAAACCGUGUGCUUACAAGUAGUCAGAGCCCGUUAAUGGGUGAUGGCGUGCCUUUUGUAGAAUGAACCGGCGAGUUACGAUUUGAUGCAAGGUUAAGCAGUAAAUGUGGAGCCGUAGCGAAAGCGAGUCUGAAUAGGGCGUUUAGUAUUUGGUCGUAGACCCGAAACCAGGUGAUCUACCCUUGGUCAGGUUGAAGUUCAGGUAACACUGAAUGGAGGACCGAACCGACUUACGUUGAAAAGUGAGCGGAUGAACUGAGGGUAGCGGAGAAAUUCCAAUCGAACCUGGAGAUAGCUGGUUCUCUCCGAAAUAGCUUUAGGGCUAGCCUCAAGUGAUGAUUAUUGGAGGUAGAGCACUGUUUGGACGAGGGGCCCCUCUCGGGUUACCGAAUUCAGACAAACUCCGAAUGCCAAUUAAUUUAACUUGGGAGUCAGAACAUGGGUGAUAAGGUCCGUGUUCGAAAGGGAAACAGCCCAGACCACCAGCUAAGGUCCCAAAAUAUAUGUUAAGUGGAAAAGGAUGUGGCGUUGCCCAGACAACUAGGAUGUUGGCUUAGAAGCAGCCAUCAUUUAAAGAGUGCGUAAUAGCUCACUAGUCGAGUGACACUGCGCCGAAAAUGUACCGGGGCUAAACAUAUUACCGAAGCUGUGGAUUGUCCUUUGGACAAUGGUAGGAGAGCGUUCUAAGGGCGUUGAAGCAUGAUCGUAAGGACAUGUGGAGCGCUUAGAAGUGAGAAUGCCGGUGUGAGUAGCGAAAGACGGGUGAGAAUCCCGUCCACCGAUUGACUAAGGUUUCCAGAGGAAGGCUCGUCCGCUCUGGGUUAGUCGGGUCCUAAGCUGAGGCCGACAGGCGUAGGCGAUGGAUAACAGGUUGAUAUUCCUGUACCACCUAUAAUCGUUUUAAUCGAUGGGGGGACGCAGUAGGAUAGGCGAAGCGUGCGAUUGGAUUGCACGUCUAAGCAGUAAGGCUGAGUAUUAGGCA
rnacentral:rRNA from 1 species